GAUGAACGCUGGCGGCGUGCCUAAUACAUGCAAGUCUAGCGAACGGACGAGAAGCUUGCUUCUUUGAUGUUAGCGGCGGAAGGGCGAGUAACACGUGGAUAACCUACCUAUAAGACUGGGAUAACUUCGAGAAACCGGAGCUAAUACCGGAUCAUAUUUUGAACCGCUUGGUUCAAGAGCGAAAGACGGUCUUGCGGUCACGUAUAGACGGAUCCGCGCUGCAUUAGCUAGUUGGUAAGGUAACGGCGUACCAAGGCAACGAUGCAUAGCCGACCUGAGAGGGUGAUCGGCCACACUGGAACGGAGACACGCUCCAGACUCCUACGGGAGGCAGAAGUAGAGAAUCUUCGGCAAUGGGCUACAGCCUGACGGAGCAACGCCGCGUGAGUGAUGAAGGUCUUCUGCUCGUAAAACUCUGUUAUUAGGGAAGAACAUAUGUGUAAGUAACAUUGCACCUCGUGACGGUACCUAAUCAGAAAGCCACGGCUAACUCCGUG
rnacentral:rRNA from 1 species